AUAAUAAUUUUUUAAAAAUCAACUCUAUUUUAAUAAUAAAGAUGAAUUAUUCAUCAAUCAAAUCGCAAGUCAAUGAAAGGACUUAUGUGACAUGCGACGUGAUAAAGAUAACAUCGUCAAAAACAAAAUUGUUUAACAAAAUUCUUUUUUAUUUAUUUAUUUUGUUUGGAUCUUCUUUGUUCUUCUCCUCUUCCUCUGUUCCUUAGCUGCUGUCUCCGUGGUGUCCAACUUCACCACCGCUUCCUUCCCUCUCACUCGUCAUCGUCGAUCUCACCAUAAUAUCACUCCCGACAAUAAUGCUUAGAAGAAGACAACUACAAUUUACCCCUUUGGAAUUUGUGAUGAACUGUUCCCAAAUUACAAAAAAAAAAAAAUUAGGGAUUAACAAACUCAAAGAUAAACCCAAUUUCCAUUGUAUUCAAACCCCAAUCUAACAUUAAAAGUAGAAAUCAAAUGAUAAAUUGCGAACCUGCAAUUGGAAUCAACGAUGGGUGGCAAAAAAAAAGGAUAGCUUUGAGCUUCAUCAUUUGUAAAAGAGAUGCAACUAGGCAAUAGAAAUUUGAUCGAAUUCAAGCUUGAAAUGAGAUUAAAACUUGUAGAUGAAGAAUCUAAGGAUGCAAGGGUUGAAUCUUUAGAGAUAGAGCAAUCAAUCAUCAUUUCUCUGCUAAUAUUUGCCCACUUUGGCUUCCAAAUCCAACCGACUAAAACACCAACAAUUACAACAAUCUACAAAGGAGAUAUAAAAACCAUAAACUCCUUCAAAACAUCCCCAAUUGUGGGUUUCCUUAAAAUCUCCGAAAAGAAAAAAAACCAACACCAAAACCAUCCUUUAGAACAACCCCCCUUCGAUGAAAUCCAAAGAGUUAGCUUCAAACACAACGAUUUCUCAAGGGUUUUUUUCUAUAAAAAAACUCUAAACUCAAACAAAAAAAAAUACACACACAAACUCUUUCUAAUCUGGAAAGGGGAUUAAAAGAAGAAAAAGGAGACGGAGCUAGGGUGAAUAAAAAAAGAAGAAGAAAUGAUUUCGAAUAAAAAAAAAGAUAAACAAAGACGAUAAAUGCUGAAUAGAUUAUGGAUAAAGCAAAGACAAAAAAAAAAUAUAAACGUUAGUGGUGAGAUCGACGGUUGGGAGCAUGUAGGUUACUUCGCGUUGAUCUGCUGUUUAAUUGACAGUUAAUUCAUAUUUACCAUUAAAAUUAGGUUGAUUUUUGAAAAAAUAAUAAGGUUAAGGGUAUCAAUCUACCAAAAAAGGUUAAGGUUUCAACCCAAAAGCCCAUAAACAUUAAGUGUAUUUUCGAUAAUUAUGUCUAAUUUUUUUUAUAAUUUUUAUAAAAUUUUAUAUUUUUUGAUUUUUUUUUACAAUUUUUAUAAUUUUUUCAAUAGAAUUUAAAUAUUUUUAAUUAAAAUUUAAUAAUUUUUAUUGCUUUUUUUUUCAUUUUUUGUCACAUGUCAUGCCGUAGUUGUGACACGAGAUGACUUUAAUUGAAAAAAGUUAGGGGCAGUUAAUUAUUAAAGUUAAUGGUUAAAGGAUCUUUUUGAUGCAUUUUGAAAGUUCAAGUAUCCAAUUGAGUGCAAAAAAAAAAAAGCUUAAUUGCUUUUUUUGAAAAAGUUUGAAGGCCUUUUUUUUAUAUAUUUUGAAAGUUUAAAUACUCAAUUGAGUAGAAAAAAAAAAGAGCUUAAUUGCUUUUUUAAAAAAAAGUUUUGAUGACUUUUUACACCUUUAAGCUUUUAUUUUUCUAAAUUUUACUAGUAAAGUAGAAGAAAAACAACAAGAAAAUAAAAAAUAGUUAAAGUGAAAUACAAACCAAUAUAAAAAAAGACCAAAUGAAUCAAGUUUUACCUUAAAGCUUUCUAGUUGUUCAAGUAUUGAAAGCUAAGAUUGCAAAUAAUCAUACAAAUGAUAGAGAUAAGGGCAUAUUUGUAAAAAAAAUACGUUCUCAACCUUGCAAUCACAACUUCCCCCUUCCCCCCCCAACCAAAAAAAAAAAAAGUUGCAAGAGUGGAUAAAAAAUUUUCAACUUCUUAUUAUAAAGACUAUGUAAUGGUUUUACAUCUAAUCAUAUCAUACAUUGUUUUAUAAUUGAUAUUGUACAUUAAUUUAGAUGAUUUUUAUAAAUAUUUUAAAAUUUCAAAAUUUGAUCUCACAAUUUAAAUUUCUUUGGUUGUUCACCUCUUCUCUCUAGCUUACCAUAAACUCAACAUUGAUAACAAACUAAUUUCAAUAAAUUCAUGAUUUAAAAGUUGAGUUAACCUAAUCUAACAUUUUAAACUUAAAAUUUAACCAAAAAUUAAAAGGAAAACCACUCUUACCCAUUUAGAUGCUUAUGGCUAGGAGGAGGGAGAAGUAGUGCAAUAUUUCUUUCUUUUUUCUUCCUUAGCUGUGUAUUGAAGAUGAUUCAAAUCCUUCGGAUGGGUGGUGCGUUUAACUAUAGUUAUUGUAAAAAUAAUGGUGAUGAUGAAAUUAAAUAUUGUAACGUAAGACAAAAAAAAAACAAGGGGCCGCACUAAAAAUAAACCCCAUCCAAAGGGGCCUGAAGAAAACUCAGCACUCAUUCUUUCAUCCUUUCUUUUAUUAUCCUUUUUAAUAUUAAGCUAAUUACCACUAAUCUAAUGACCACAAUUUAAUAAGGAAUUAUCCAAUGGAGAUGGAUGGUUAGGAUUAACAUUUCCCACUAUCCUUAAUUUAAUUAUGUUAUAAUUAUUCCUAAAUCUUGGUUAUUUAUCAAUCUAAAGAACUAUUAAAUCUCUGAUCAACUCUCUCCAUCUUACUCCACUUAUAAUUUAGAUUUUGUAGUAUAUUUAAUUAUUAAUUUCUCUAAAUAAUUACUUAAUAAUUUAGUUCAGUAUUUUGUAUUCAUCUUGCAACUGUUCCAUUACAAUUUCCACUUAACUCAAUUUAAGGAAUUAGGUCUUAAAAUUGAAUUUUUUCGACACUAUUGAGAAUAAAAUCAUUACAACAUGCCAUUGUUUAAUUAUUUCAUAAGUAACGUCAAUUUUUAACAAUACGGAUAAAUGAAAAAUUUAAAUAAAAAGACCCGUUUACUCAUUGAUGUAAUGUACAUAAAUUAAUUUAUCUAUCUUUUAAGUAGAAAAGACAAAACCAUUAAAAUUACCUGAAUGUUGGGUCAAUUAUGUUUAACUAAUGAAAAGAAGUAGACUUAGUUCAAUGUUUAAGAUUUUUUUUAAAAAAAAUCUCACAUAAUCAUUUUCACGAUAACAUCCAAUGAUGUUAUUAUUUUCUAUCUAUAACAUUAAAAAAGUAGAAUGAUAAAUUUACGUUAUAUUGAAGUAGAGAUAAAAUCCUCAACUUAGAGGGACUAAAAUCAUAAUUAUGAUAAAUGACGUACACAUACGAUGAAAAUGAGGCUUACACCACACCACUACUGACAAUGAGACACACAAGAACUCCUUGACCUACAAACUAAGAUUGCAUACAUAUAAUAAUACUGUAAUUUAUUAUUACUUUUUCCCACCUUCUUUGACUUACCAAAAACAUAUUAUUAAACAUUUAGGAUAAACUACAUCAUCAGUCACUCAAUUAUAGGUAUAUUUUUAUUUCGGUCACUUAAUUAAAAAAUUAUAAUUUAAUCAUCAUCAUUUUCAAAAUUGGUUUUUUCCACCUAACCUUCAAGUGGCAAUUUUUUAUUUGGUAUAAUUUUUAUACUUUCUAUCAAUUUGAAAAAAAAAAUAUUUUUAAAAAUUUAAGAAUUUUAAAAAUACAUAAAAAUAUAAAAAUAAAUAAAGGGGGAGAAAUUAAGGAAAAAAUGUUUUCCAUAAGAAAAGGAAAGAAAUUUCGAAUAUAAUUUGUUUAUAUGGUUUAAGUUUUGAAAAUUAAUUAGGAAAGAAAUUUCGAAUAUAAUUUGUUUAUAUGGUUUAAGUUUUGAAAAUUAAUUUAAAUGAAUUGAAAUUUAAAAUUGAGUUUGUAAAAGAAAAUUUUGUAUUACAUUUUGUAUUUUUUGAUUAAAAAAUGAUAUCAGAGUCAAAUUUUCAAGUUUGUAAUAUUAGUUUUGGAAGAAGUUCUUCAACAAUAUGGAAUUCAACUUGAAGAUAUUGGAUGAUCGUUUUCAUUCUUAUGUCUCAAUAUUAAAUAAUCUUGAGCUUUAAUGUAAUAAAAUGUUGAGUUUUCUUGUAUGAACAUUAGUUUUUUAAUAAUAACUAAAUCUCAUGAACUUAAGAAAAACCCUAAAAAGUCAAGAGUGCUCUCUUGCGAAUCCCAAAGAAACAGCGGCUACUGUGGUUGGAAAGGAGGUGAGUGGUGACUUGAGGGUAUGGCCGAAGAGAAGGAACUAGCGCUAUUUGAAGAAGAAUUGAUCCAGCUAUCGGUGAAGAGCUCGUCAGUCAGGCCAUCCGAGAAUCCGACGUUGUUAUGUACUGUUUGGACAAAGAAAUCUUACAAUCCAGACAGUUUGAGAGCGCAAUUAAGGAGCAUCUGGAAAACAAAGAGGAAAUUCAAGAUUCUAAUCGCGGGUCAAAACCUUUUCUCGAUAUCCUUCGAAGACAAGGAAGAUCUCGAGUAGAAUUUGGAAGGACGCCCAUAGCUUUUUCGAAAACAUCUACUGAUUCUAGACCAGUUAACGGAACCAAUAGAGAGGAGCAAGAUUAAACUAGUGACAUCUCUGUUUUGGCUAAAAAUUGGACCAUGUCCUCCUGAGUUUGAGAAAAAGGAUUUGAUGUAUGCAGUGGGAUCUACAUUUGGGAGAGUACUUCGAUUGGAAAUAAAAGGUGACUGCUGUCGAAUUAGGGUUAAUUUAGAUGUCCAAAAACCUCUACGAAGAGGUAUUUUUGCUUCCCUAGAGAAACAAGGAAAAAUCUGGCUCACGUUCAAAUAUGAAACCUUACCAACGUUUUGUUUCGGGUGUGGCGGGUUAGGACACGAGGUUAAAGAUUGCAUGCAAAUUUCGCCUGAAGAUCGGUCCAGAUCAGUAGACCAACUUCCCUACUCUAUAGCUCUCAAGGCUGAAUUUACUGUAAUUAGAAAGGAAAGCAUAUGGUAUGGGUCCUUGAAAAAGAAUACAAUGAAGCAAUGUCAGUACCCAGGUGAGGAGAAAAUAGAUACGGAUGGAAAUCACCAUACAGAUACAAUGAUACAGAAGUGACAAAUGUCGAUGGAGGAAGAUUGGGAAAACAACCCAAAAGACCCAAGAGAUAAGAAACGAGCGACAAAUGAGCAGAGAUAAAGCAGCUUAUUUAAACACCACAAAAGGGUCGAUAAUCGUUAAAGAGAAGGAAGAGCAGAAUCAAAGUGACAUCGUAUAGAUUCAGAUAAAUGAACUGGAGAUAAAGAAGUCCACCGAUGGAGUAGCAAUGCAACAAAUAAAUCACCAUCGGAAUAGCUGUCGUCGUUUAGAUAAAAAGGAAUGUUUUGAUACAAACAUGCCUGAGCUGAUUUUGGGUAAACGCAAAUUCAAUCAAGAAAAGCCAGUAGACAUUGACCCAUAUUCUAGUAUUGAGAGUAUCAAAAAAAAGUCAAGGCAAUAAAUGGACACGUGGUGGAGCAUGCAACCUUUGAUUUUGAGAAGGCUUUUACGCAGGAUUUUUCAGAUUUGAAGCAAGAUAUAUCGGUCGGUGCCAAUAGGCAAGCCGACCAAAUGCAAUGAAGAUCCUAAGCUAGAAUGUCUGGGGACUGGGGAAUCCCCGGACAAUUAGAAAGUUCUAACACACAUUGAAACUUUACAAUCCCCAAAUAAUCUUCAUAAUGGAGACAAAACUUGAUUGUAUUCGCAUGGAACGAGUUAGGAAAAAGUGUGGUUUUCAGAAUGGAAUGGACAUCCCAACUCUGGGAACACGUGGUGGUUUAUGCCUUGCAUGGAAUGGAAAUCAUUUGAUUCAUGUUCGUAGUUAUUCAGAGUAUCAUAUCGAUAUUGACAUUAUGGAGAUGAUAAUUCAAGCAAAUGGAGGUUGAUGGGGUUUUAUGGGAAUCUAAGACAGUCAAACAGGCACGAAUCCUGGAACCUUCUUCGAAGACUACGAAAUGCAAACCCUGAGCCUUGGUGUGUAUGUGGAGAUUUUAAUGAGAUUAUGUACGCAAAUGAAAAGAAAGGAGGAGCCAUAAGAGACGAGAGACAAAUGGAGGAGUUUCGGAAGGUAUUAGCUAAAUGUGAUUUGUUUGAUAUGGGUUAUACAGGACAGAAAUAUACAUGGGAAAGGGGCAAUUUUAAGGAUACUAAUAUUAGAGAACGACUUGACUGAGCAGUAGCAAAUAAUGAAUGGUCCAACUGUUCAACGACUAUUCGGUACAGCAUCUCCCUCAUUCAUUGUCUGAUCACCGCCCAAUUUUAGUUCAAAUAGAGAUUAACAAUUCACGUAGUGGUCGACACCACUUUAAAUUCGAAUCAUGGUGGCUUCUCGAAUCAAGAUGUGACGAAGUCAUUAAAAAAUUGUGGGAGGAGAAAGAAGCGAUGUCUUAGGAAAAAUGAAACACCUACGCACUGGUCUACAAAAAUGGGGACGUAGCGUCAAGGUAAAACAUGAUAGGAAAUCGAAGAAAUUGUGGGAUAGAUUGGUCAAACUUGAUGGCAUGAAUAGGGAUGAUGAUGUGUUAGCUGAAAUUAUAGAUGUUAAGUUAGAGCUAAACUGGGAGCUGGAAAAAGAGGAAUUAUAUUGGGAGCAGCGGGCUAGAGCCAACUGGUUGCGUGAGGGGGAUAAAAAUACAGCUUAUUUCUACAAUAAAGCAUCUCAAAGACAAAGAGUAAAUAAGAUUCGUGGAUUGGAAGAUAGAGACGGGGUCCUCAAAUCGGAAAGAAUGGAUAUAGAGAUCAUUAUCAAAGAUAACUUUAUGGGGUUGGUAAUAAAAACCAUCUUUUUUCGGGUGUCCAUAGGUGCAUUACGGAGGAUAUGAAUCAAAUUCUAGUAGCAGAUUAUAAGGAGAUAGAAAUAGUUGAAGCGUUUAAUAGUAUUGGGCCAACAAAAGCAUCUGGGCCUGAUGGUUUUCCAGCUAUUUUCUUUCAGAAAUUUUGGCAUAUUGUGGGAAAUGAGGUAAGUGCUUUCUGCCUAGAUGUUCUGAACAAAGGCAAAUCUUUAAAAUCUUUAAAUUACACAAACAUAGUACUAAUCCCAAAAAAUGCCUAUCCAAAGAACCUAAUUAAUUCUUCGGCCCAUUAGCCUGUGUUCGGUACUUUGCAAAAUUAUUUCAAAAUCCAUCGCCAAUAGACUUCAAAAAGUACUGGAUUCUUGUAUUGAUCUAGCUCAAAGUGCGUUUGUACCGGAUAGGUUAAUUACUGAUAAUGUCCUUCUAGCUUAUGAAAUAUUACAUACUUUGAGGAACAAAAAGAUAGGAAAAAAAGGAUUAAUGGCUCUUAAGAUUGAUAUGAGUAAGGCGUAGGGUAGAAUAGGGGAUUUUGCAAAAAAUAAUGCUCAAAAUGGGUUUUAAUGCUGAAUGGGUUGAGAGAGUUAUGCAUUGUAUUGCCACUGUUUCAUAUUCGGUGGUACUUAAUGGAACCCCAAGAAUAGUUUUUACACUUGAGAGAGGGUUGCGAAAAGGGGACCCACUUAGCCCUCUAUUAUUUCUCAUAUGUAGUGAAGGACUUUCUACUUUACUUAGGCUCGCAACUGAGAAAAGCAGACUCAAAGAAAUUAAAGCAAGCAGACGAGGGCCUCAAAUCUCUCAUCUUCUAUUUGCAGAUGACUGUAUACUAUUCGGGGAAGCAACUGAGAGGGGAGCAAAGACAAUUGAACAAAUUCUUAAAGAGUAUGAGGAGUGUUCUUGUCAAUGUAUCAAUUAUGGGAAAUCGAUUGUGUUUUUUUAGUACAAAUACAUUCGAAACAGUCCGGGUUGAUAUUUCUAAUCGGAUGAGAGUUAAAAGGUCCAAUAGUUCAAAAAAAUACUUGGGUCUGCCAAAUUUGGUGGGAAGGGGAAAACGUAGGGCUUUUCAACACCUGAAAGACCGUAUAAAAAUAAAAAUUGAUAACUGGAGUAAUCGGUUAUUAUCACAAGGAGGAAAAUAGGUGUUCAUUAAAGCUGUGCUACAAGCGAUUCCAACAUACACAAUGGCAUGUUUCCUACUACCGCUAUCAUUAUGUAAGAAGAUUGAGCAAUUAAUGGCUAACUUCUAGUGGCAGAAGGGUCAAGGUAAACGUGGAAUUCAUUGGUGCUCAUGGAAUAAAUUAUGUGAAUUAAAAGUCGAGGGUAGACUUGGAUACAGAAAUUUAGCUAAAUUUAAUUUGGCCUUUCUUGCAAAGCAAGGCUGGAGAAUUAUUGAUAAUCCUAUGUCCCUUUUAGCUAGAACAUUAAAAGCCAAGUAUCAUCCAAAUUCUGAUUUUUUAAGCUCAGAGUUAGGGAGCUUACCAUCAUAUACUUGGAAACGUAUAUGGGCUGCAAAGGGACUGCUGUUCGCAGGAUUAUAGUGGAAGGUGGGUAACGGGCAAAGCAUCAGAAUUGAAGAAGAUGUCUGGGUUCCAAAUGUGGAGAGCGGGCUGGUUAAAAAAAAUGUCAAUAGGCAAACUGUUACAAAAGUCGAAGAUCUUAUUGAUAAUAGGAAUAGAAAAUGGAAUUCGGAACUGAUUUUAAAGACCUUCUCUAAAGAGGUCGCUCAAAAGAUCUUGUUAAUUCCACUGGCUCAGCACACUCACGAAGACUUUCUGAGUUGGCAAGGCGAGGCAUCUGGAGAGUAUUCUGUGUGCAGCAGUUACAAAAUCCUCUUACAAAGAAAUGAAAAUUACAGGCAAGAGGAAAUCAAUACAUGUUACAAAAAAACUCUGGAGCUGUGACCUCCCUUCAAAAAUUAAUAUUACAGCCUAGAGAGUCACCCUUAACUUUAUCCCUACUCUAGUAAACCUAAAAGCUAAGCGACUAAUAAAUGAGGCCAAUUGUUAGAGGUGCUUGUAAGGGCUGGAAACAAGAGAACACGUCUUCCGGGAUUGCACUGUCACAAAAGAAAUAUGGGAAAAAUUAGAGUUUACAUGGCCUCAGGCUCUUUCACAAGUUGAGUUUAUGGAAUGGUUUACCUGAAUUAUGCUCCACAGUACAAGAGAAGCCAGUCAGACCUUCAUUUGCACUUUAUGGGCUAUCUGGGCAGCUAGAAACAAAUGGAUGUAUGAAAACCACAAGAGAACUGGAGCAGAAAUAGUAAAAUUCAUACGGGGAUAUAUACAGGAAGUUAAAGACAUUACGAAAACAGAUCUUGCCUUAAGGUUGGAAUCUGAGUUAUGGAGGCCUCCGGAAAAAGAGUUCUUCAAGAUAAACUUUGAUGCUGCCUUUGAUAAUAGAUAGAACAGAUCCUGUUCAAGAAUAAUAAUCAGAAAUUUCAAGGGUGACAUUAUAGUAUCCAACACAAUAAUUCAUACCAACAUAUGCACUAGUUUUGCGGCUGAAGCAAACGCAUGUCUACAGGCAGUCAAGAUGGGCAGAGAAUUAGGGAUAAAACAGAUUAACAUUGAAGGAGACUCCUUAACAGUUAUAAAGAAAGUUAAAAGCUCAAAAAGAGACAGAUUGGAAAUAGGACCUUUUAUCUAUGAUAUAAAAGAACAGAAAGCAACAUUCCACGAUUUUCAGUUUCAAUAUGUCAGACGAUCAGCAAAUACAGAAGCACAUAAUCUGGCAACGGAAGGGCUAAAAAUGGACAGAAGUACAUACCUGGCUCCUGGGUCCGGCGGAAAUGGCAUUUCUGAAGCAGAGGUAGAUCGGGGAUAGAGAUAAACCAAUUGGAAAUAGUAACAACACCAGUUGCGGGGACAAAAGAGGAGAAGACGAUCUAUCUAGCAGGAAAAUACAUGGCGGUACAAAAAUCUUUAGAAAAGGAAAAUGAGUGGAAGACGGGCUGCGAAUAAGAAGAAGGCAACGAUGGAAAAGAAAAGAUCAAAGGAAUAAGACUAACAGCUGGGAAGACAAUAUCUUUUCGUUGGA
rnacentral:lncRNA from 1 species